UUUCAAAGAGCAAAAUAAUAAUUUUAUGGAGUUAAUAGCUGUGUUCACUAAUAAAAUUAAUCUAACUUUUUAAAUUAGGGAUGAAAAAAAUACAAAAAAGAAUACAGUAAUCCAAUUAUCGUAUUUAAAUACGGUGACUGAAUCACCGUAUUCAACUUUAAAAUGCUAUCUAGAUGCUCGCAUGGUAAUGAGAGAGCUAUUUAUAUACAUAUAAAUUUGUUAGGAUUAUUUAUAAUAAAAAAAAAAUUGAGGGGGCUAGAUAACCAAAAAGUGCCUUAAGAAAGGGGCCAGCAAUGCCCGGUUCCUAGCUCGAUCAAAAAGACAUUUUUUUAUUAAGAAUAUCUCUCAUAUGUAUAGAAUUUUUGAAUUUAAAUACUUCACUUUUCUCUCUUAUAAUAUUACAUAAUAAUAAUAAUGCUAAAUUAUAGAAACCCUCCUCUCAAAACUCGAUUUUUUAUUUUUUCCGCUUGUCAUUUAAAAAUCUACACUUUACCCCCUAAUAAAAUGAAAAAUGUUCAUUUCAUACCGUAAGUAAUCCGUUAGGGUUCCGUUAUAAAAUAUUUUUUAUGCCAAAAAUAUCCUCCUCCCUCUCUAUUGUUGCUUCGCCCUCCUCCGCCUCACCGCCUCGCCGCCUCGCCCUCCUCCACUACCUCGCCCUCGCCCACAACUCUGUCUGUGCCCACAAACACCCCCUUGCCCUCCUCCUCCGCCUCGCCUUCGCCCUCGUUGCCCUUGCCGACCUCUCCAUCCGCGCCCAUCUUGAUUUCCUCCGGAUUGUUGCCGAAAUGGAGGGACGACGAGGGUGCAGGAGGAGAAGGGGAGCAAGUGGGAAAGAAAAUGGAGAGAAAUCGCGGUCGAUCGAGGCGCGAACCGCGGCCGGUUGAGGCGGCGGAUGAGGAAGAUGAGGGAGGAGACGAAAAUGGUGAGGGGCAAAAUAGUCAUUUUGUCAUCACAGUUCACACCGUACCCCUCUGUGAAUAUUUUUCAUUUUACAAGGGGACAAAGUAUAGAUUUUUAAAUGACACGAGAGGAAGUGAAAAAUCGGAUUUUGAUAGAGUAGUUUUAUGUAAUUUAGCCUAAUAAUAGU
rnacentral:lncRNA from 1 species